UACGGAGGGUGCAAGCGUUGUCCGGAUUUAUUGGGUUUAAAGGGUGCGUAGGUGGUUUUCUAAGUCUGGUUUGAAAGCUGGUCGCUUAACGAUCAGAUGUGGCUGGAAACUGGAGGACUUGAAUGCGUUGGCGGUAGCCGGAAUGGGUCAUGUAGCGGUGAAAUGCAUAGAUAUGACCCGGAACACCGAUUGCGAAGGCAGGCUACUACGACGUGAUUGACACUGAGGCACGAGAGCAUGGGUAGCGAACAGG
rnacentral:rRNA from 1 species